rnacentral:rRNA from 1 species
ACAAGCGGAGGAGCGAUGUGGUUUAAUUCGAUGAUACGCCGAGGAACCUUACCUGGGCUCGAACGUAAGAUGACUGUAGGUGAAAGCUUACAUCUCUUCGGAGCAUUUUACGAGGUGCUGCAUGGUUGUCGUCAGCUCGUGCCGUGAGGUGUCGGUUAAGUCCCAUAACGAGCGCAACCCUACCUUUAGUUGCCAUCAGGUAAUGCUGGGGACUCUAAAGGAACUGCCUACGCAAGUAGUGAGGAAGGCGGGGAUGACGUCAAAUCAGCACGGCCCUUACGUCCAGGGCUACACACGUGCUACAAUGGCCGAUACAGAGGGCAGCUACCUGGUGACAGGAUGCAAAUCUCCAAAGUCGGUCUCAGUUCGGAUCGGAGUCUGCAACCCGACUCCGUGAAGUUGGAUUCGCUAGUAAUCGCGCAUCAGCCAUGGCGCGGUGAAUACGUUCCCGGGCCUU